CCUACGGGAGGCAGCAGUGGGGAAUAUUGGACAAUGGGCGAAAGCCUGAUCCAGCAAUUCUGCGUGAGUGAGGAAGGACUUCGGUCUGUAAAGCUCUGUUAAUGUGGAAAAAUGGUAGUUGGUCUAAUAGGCCGGCUAUUUGAUGGUACACAUAGAGGAAGCACCGGCUAACUUCGUGCCAGCAGCCGCGGUAAUACGAAGGGUGCAAGCGUUGUUCGGAUUUAUUGGGCGUAAAGCGCGCGUAGGCGGACCUGUAAGUCAGAUGUGAAAUCUCGGUGCUCAACACCGAAACUGCGUCUGAAACUGCGGGUCUUGAAUCUUAGAGGGGGAGUGGGAAUUUCGCAUGUAGGGGUAAAAUCCGUAGAGAUGCGAAGGAACACCAGAGGCGAAGGCGCACUCCUGGACAAGUAUUGACGCUGAGGCGCGAAAGCGUGGGGAUCAAACAGGAUUAGAUACCCUGGUAGUCCACGCUGUAAACGAUGAGCACUAGAUAUUAUGGGAUUUGACCCCCGUAGUGUCGUAGCUAACGCGUUAAGUGCUCCGCCUGGGAAGGUACGGUCGCAAGACUAAAACUCAAAUGAAUUGACGG
rnacentral:rRNA from 1 species